GAUGAACGCUGGCGGCGUGCCUAAUACAUGCAAGUCGAGCGAACGGACGAGAAGCUUGCUGGUCUGAUGUUAGCGGCGGACGGGUGAGUAACACGUGGAUAACCUACCUAUCAGACUGGGAUAACUUCGGGAAACCGUAGCUAAUCCCGGAUAAUAUUUUGAACCGCAUGGUUCAAAAGCGAAAGACGGUCUUGCUGUCACUUAUAGAUGGAUACGCGCUGCAUUAGCUAGUUGGUAAGGUCAAGGCCUACCAAGGCAACGAUGCAUAGCCGACCUGAGAGGGUGAUCGGCCACACUGGAACUGAGCCACGGUCCAGACUCCUACGAGAGGCAGCAGUAGGGAAUCUGCCGCAAUGGGCGAAAGCCUGACGGAGCAACGCCGCGUGAGUGAUGAAGAUCUUGGGAGCGUAAAGAUCUGUUAUUGGGGAAGAACAUAUGUGGAAGUAACUGUGCAGAGCUUGACGGUACUUAAUCAGGAAGCCACGGCUAACUACGUG
rnacentral:rRNA from 1 species